AUGUCAACUACGGCAAGGUUGGACUGGUAUCUUCUAAGGCAUCCCUGUCUCCUUUUGCUUAAGCAGUGGGAACGAAAGCACUGUAAACCAAAUAAUCAUCCUAUGCCUUACAAGAUGCAUGUCAGUGUCGGUGACACAAUUCAAGUCAUCGCAGGCCAUGAGAAUAGUAAAGUUGGGGAAGUUGUGCCGCUUUACAAGCACAAGAACACUAUGAUAGUGAAGGACCCGAACUUGAAGUCAAAGCACAAUAAAUGCUCAGAGGAUGAAUCGGGGGAAAUUGUCAUGAUUGAAGGCCCCAUUCUUAGCUUGAACAUGAUGGUUAGGCACCAUCUCCUCGAGGACGGCACCAAGGUUCACUACCUGAAGAAGACCGGCGUAGUGAUCGACAAUGUCGAUAACCAGGUGAAGGUGUUCAAUGAAAGAGAUUCGGAGUCAUCAUCAUAG
rnacentral:rRNA from 1 species